rnacentral:lncRNA from 1 species
CCCGAGCUCCAUCUUCUUCCCCGCCUCCCUUCCGCGAACCGGACGCCUCCUUCUGGGUUCUCCGGCACCGCUGUGUCUAGCGGUCCAACCUCGUCGCCCGAGGCCGUUCACCGUUGCAGCGCCUCCUUCCGUCCGUGCAACGGGCUCCCGUGCACGGCCCUUGCUGAAGCUGGUGCGCACGUCCCUGCCCCAUCUUUUCUCCCUCUCUGUUCCUGCACUCCAUGAAUUCUUGUUGAUUGCUCGUCACGUGUUUGCUAAAAUAUCUAAGUGCACUGUACUACUAGUUUUGAUGUGUUCACUGUUUAUUUGUAGCUACCUUGUGCUUGCUAAAUGUUACAGCUUACAAUACUUGGAGAAUUUUUCGUGUGUGAUCUGUACUUUAGGUGCUAAUCUGAGAAUUCGUGUCCUCAAAUAGUUCAUGUAUUACUACCAUAGGAGUACAGACACUACACCAAGAAAAAGUUCACCACACAGUACAUUUUAGAAAAAGGAUACUCUGGAAAGUUUACUGGAAAUAAUACUUAACAAGAGUCGCAUGUUUGUUUUACUGCCUAAAAGGGUGAUCUGCCGUGAAGUUAAGCGAGGCAAGGCUAGGACAAGUCCGACUGUUUUUUAGUGGGAAGUUCUGGGUUCUGACUUACAUUUGAUGUAGGUGAGGGGCAACUACCCAAAAUUUCUUGAUGAUUGGUUCUUCCAUUUCUCAGUUGUACAAUGAUGAUUUUCCCAAAAAGUUCCCAAUUUUUUUUAUCAAUUUCUCAGUCGGUUUCGUAGAUCCAAGAAUAAAUGAAUGCAAUGCUAAAGAUUUCACUAGCAUAGAAAAAUGUAGUACGUGGUUCUUGCUGGAAUCUAGAUUGCUUUCUUUGUCCUCGUUAAAGAAAUAUAGCCUGUAUUAUUGCUAAAAAUGUUUACACUAGUUCUGACUCAAAAAGACCAUAAAGUUUAGAGGAAGACAAAAUUAGCAAGAGAACAAAAAAACAAGGUGCUCACCACAGAAACCCCAGAAAACCGAGGUCUCGUUUUCUUUUUUGCUCUAGUUUAUUCUACUUUGGCAUUUGGUGGAUGAUAUUUAUUGCAUCCUUCAUCACUGAUCUUGAGAAGGAGAUUGAUCCGUGCAUUUCUACUUUCAGUGCGUAAAUCUAUUGGUUUUUAAUGGUUAGGAAUUUUGGAAGAGUACUUUCAACCUGGAAGAGCACUUUCAACCGUCCAGGAAGACAACAACGACAGCCAGUAUGAUGGAUGUGAGAGUUAUUUUGACAUUUCAUUGUACAGUGCUUCUCUUUGUGUAGUGUUGUGUGUUUUCAAGUGCUUGAUGAAAAUUGAUGUUCCAGGUAGUUCAUGUAUUACUGAGGAGUUCAUGUACUGCCUAGUAAGUAAACCUGUUCAACUAUGUAAGCCACACAAGUUCAAAAGGAUUCACAUCAGUACAAACUCGAGAGGGCAUGUAUUACCGUCCAGAGUACAAACUUCAGUUUACCAAGAAGUUCAUGUAUUACAAUUUAGAGUUCUUGUAUUACUAUCCAUAAAGUAUAACUAUUGGUAUAGAAACUGUUCAAUAUUUGUUCGAAAGCUACCUGCAAAAGAGAAGCCCUUCUUACAUCCAUUUAGAGCUCACACCACAUGCACCGUCCUCAGUCCAACCC